rnacentral:rRNA from 1 species
CACGUAGGGUGCGAGCGUUGUCCGGAAUUAUUGGGCGUAAAGAGCUCGUAGGCGGUGUGUCGCGUCGGCCGUGAAAACCUGCAGCUUAACUGUGGGCUUGCGGUCGAUACGGGCAUCACUGGAGUUCGGCAGGGGAGACUGGAAUUCCUGGUGUAGCGGUGAAAUACGCAGAUAUCAGGAGGAACACCGGUGGCGAAGGCGGGUCUCUGGGCCGAUACUGACGCUGAGGUGCGAAAGCGUGGGGAGCAAACAGG